rnacentral:rRNA from 1 species
GACGAGCCUCACAAACGUUAUUCGGAAUUACUGGGCUUAAAGGGUGCGUAGGCGGCGCGGAAAGUUGGGUGUGAAAUCCCUCGGCUCAACCGAGGAACUGCGCCCAAAACUACCGUGCUCGAGGAAGAUAGAGGUGAGCGGAACUUACGGUGGAGCGGUGAAAAUGCGUUGAUAUCGUAAGGAACACCCGUGGCGAAAGCGGCUCACUGGGUCUUCUCUGACGCUGAUGCACGAAAGCUAGGGGGAGCAAACGGG